rnacentral:rRNA from 1 species
GACGAACGCUGGCGGCGCGCUUAACACAUGCAAGUCGAACGGAAAGGCCUGCUUUCCCUUGUGGAUUGCGGGUACUCGAGUGGCGAACGGGUGAGUAACACGUGAGUGAUCUGCCCCCAACUUGGGUAUAAGCCUGGGAAACUGGGUCUAAUUCCCGAUAGGACUGCAGGUUGUUGCCUGUUGUGGAAAACGCUUUUCUAGUGGUUGGGGAUGAGCUAGCGGCCUAUCAGCUUGUUGGUGGGGUAAUGGCCUACCAAGGCGGCGACGGGUAGCCGGCCGGAGAGGGUGGGCGGGCACGUUGGGACUGAGAUACGGCCCAGAAUGCUAAGGGAGGCAGCAGUGGGGAAUAUGGCACAAGGGGCGGAAGCCUGAUGAAGCGACGCAGCGUGAGGGAUGACGGCCUUCGGGUUGUAAACUCCUUUCGACCGCGAGGAAGCCACCUGGUUGGAAGGGUGGUGACGGUAGUGGUAGAAGAAGCAACGGCUAACUACGUG